CUACGGGGUGCUGCAGUGGGGAAUAUUGCACAAUGGGCGCAAGCCUGAUGCAGCCAUGCCGCGUGUAUGAAGAAGGCCUUCGGGUUGUAAAGUACUUUCAGCGGGGAGGAAGGGAGUAAAGUUAAUACCUUUGCUCAUUGACGUUACCCGCAGAAGAAGCACCGGCUAACUCCGUGCCAGCAGCCGCGGUAAUACGGGGGGUGCAAGCGGUAAUCGGAAUUACUGGGCGUAAAGCGCACGCAGGCGGUUUGUUAAGUCAGAUGUGAAAUCCCCGGGCUCAACCUGGGAACUGCAUCUGAUACUGGCAAGCUUGAGUCUCGUAGAGGGGGGUAGAAUUCCAGGUGUAGCGGUGAAAUGCGUAGAGAUCUGGAGGAAUACCGGUGGCGAAGGCGGCCCCCUGGACGAAGACUGACGCUCAGGUGCGAAAGCGUGGGGAGCAAACAGGAUUAGAUACCCGAGUAGUC
rnacentral:rRNA from 1 species